GCCCAGCUAGCUCAGUCGGUAGAGCAUGAGACUCUUAAUCUCAGGGUCGUGGUUUCGUGCCCCACGUUGGGCA
rfam:Erinaceus europaeus unplaced genomic scaffold scaffold00215, whole genome shotgun sequence